CGGACGGGUGAGUAAUGUCUGGGAAACUGCCUGAUGGAGGGGGAUAACUACUGGAAACGGUAGCUAAUACCGCAUAACGUCGCAAGACCAAAGAGGGGACCUUCGGGCCUCUUGCCAUCGGAUGUGCCCAGAUGGGAUUAGCUAGUAGGUGGGGUAACGGCUCACCUAGGCGACGAUCCCUAGCUGGUCUGAGAGGAUGACCAGCCACACUGGAACUGAGACACGGUCCAG
rnacentral:rRNA from 2 species